rnacentral:rRNA from 1 species
UACGGAGGGUGCAAGCGUUAUCCGGAUUCACUGGGUUUAAAGGGUGCGUAGGCGGGUAGGUAAGUCAGUGGUGAAAUCUUCGAGCUUAACUCGGAAACUGCCUUUGAUACUAUCUAUCUUGAAUAUUGUGGAGGUAAGCGGAAUAUGUCAUGUAGCGGUGAAAUGCUUAGAUAUGACAUAGAACACCUAUUGCGAAGGCAGCUUACUACGCAUAUAUUGACGCUGAGGCACGAAAGCGUGGGGAGCAAACAGG